UGAACGCUAGCGGCAGGCUUAAUACAUGCAAGUCGAACGGCAAGUUUGGUAGCAAUACUAGACCUAGAGUGACGUACGGGUGCGUAACACGUAUGCAACCUACCCUUUACAGGAGGAUAGCUCGGGGAAACUCGAAUUAACCCUCCAUGAUAUAAUUGAGUGGCAUCAUUUGAUUAUUAAAACUCAGGUGGUAAAGGAUGGGCAUGCGUCUGAUUAGUUAGUUGGCGGGGUAACGGCCCACCAAGACGAUGAUCAGUAGGGGACCUGAGAGGGUGAUCCCCCACACUGGCACUGAGAUACGGGCCAGACUCCUACGGGAGGCAGCAGUAGGGAAUAUUGCACAAUGGGCGCAAGCCUGAUGCAGCAACGCCGCGUGAGGGACGACGG
rnacentral:rRNA from 1 species